GCCUAGCUAGCUCAAUCGGUAGAGCGUGAGACUCUUAAAUCAAUCAUCUCAAGGUUGUGGGUUCGACCCCCACGUUGGGCU
rnacentral:tRNA from 1 species